CUUAGUAAAAAUCUGAGUCGUGUCUUGAAAGUACGGAAUAUAUAAAGUUCGCCAGAGUCCGAAGAUUGAAGUGUUUUGACUUCGGAUUAUAGAUUGUUGAAUCCUGGGAGAUGGACGCCUACCGAACUACAAGUACAAGAGUAUGGGUGAAAUUCUAUCUUUAGGAUAUUGCAUUUAUGCAAGCCUCAAUCUCCAAGUUUGUCAGUUAUUCUAACUUUCACUCUAGUUCUUUAUAUUAAUCUCAUAUAUAAUUGAUGUUGUGAAUUUCU
rnacentral:lncRNA from 1 species